AAGUGUUUGAACUGAUGAAAGUGUACCAAAAGAUGAAAUUUCAUAACUGAUGGAAGUGUAUCAAGAGAUGAAAUGUCAGAACUGAUGAAAGUGUAUCAAGAGACAAAGUGUCUGAACUGAUGAAAGUGUAUCAGGAGACAAAGUGUCAGAACAAAUGAAAGUGUAUCAGGAGACAAAGUGACAGAACUAAUGAAAGUGUAUCAAGAGACGAAGUGUCAGAACUGAAGAAAGUGUAUCAGGACACAAAGUGUCAGAACUGAUGAAAAAGUAUCAAGAGAUGAAGUGUCAGAAGUAAUGAAAGUGUAUCAAGAGACAAAGUGUCAGAACUAAUGAAAGUGUAUCAAGAGACAAAGUGGUGUAUCAAGAGACAAAGUGUCAGAACUAAUGAAAGUGUAUCAAGAGACAGUGUCAGAACUGAUGAAAGUGUAUCAAGAGACAAAGUGUCUGAACUGAUGAAAGUGUAUCAGGACACAAAGUAUCAGAACUGAUGAAAGUGUAUCAGGAGACAAAUUGUCAGAAUCCAUGAAAGUGUAUCAGGAAACAAAGUGUUGGAACUAAUGAAAGUGUAUCUGGAGACAAAGUGUUGGAACUAAUGAAAGUGUCAGGAGACAAAGUGCCAGAACAGAUGAAAGUGUAUCAAGAGACAAAGUGUCAGAACUGAUGAAAGUGUAUCAGGAAACAAAAUUUCAGAACUGAUGAAUAUGAUUCAAAAGAGAAAGUAGUAUAUGUAGAUGUUUGAGAGACAAAUUUUUGGAACUACUGGUAGUAGGUGUCUCAGGAGUUAAAGUGUCAGAACUGAUGAAAUUGUUUCAAGAGACAAAGUGUAUGAACUAAUAGGAGUGUCAAGAACAAAAAAUAAUGGGAG
rnacentral:lncRNA from 1 species